rnacentral:snRNA from 1 species
AGCCAUGUGGUAAGCACAAAGCGAACUAUUCUUUCGCCUUUUACUAAAGAAUACCGUGUGCUUGCCUCUAAAUAGUGGCAUACGAUAAUUUUUGAAGGUUAGCUCUUUAUAGAGCCA